rnacentral:lncRNA from 1 species
GAGCAGCAGUUUCCAUCUCUCAAAACAACCAGGGCACAAGGAGUUGCCUGUGCAGGCAGCAUGGGUAAGGCCAUCUGGGGAGGGCGGGGUCCUUCAAUGGGCCCAUGCCCCCUGCUCACCUUCCCACAGAGUUCCCAUCUUUGGGUCUGACUAGGCUGUACCCUCACAGACUAAGGUAUCUUAUCUCAGAUUUCCAAGCCAACUCCCCCCACUCUGCAAGACCAGAGGCACCAGAGAGAGCAUAGCAGGGCAGCCUAGCUCUUUCAGCAAGGCAUAGCUUGUACUGGCCUGUAGGACUGUGGGGACCUCCUAAGUUACAGUUAUCACAGGGAUAACUGGGCUGUUGGAGAACCAGGUGAAAUGGCAUGAGUAUAGUUUGGGUCUGCUUCCAUGUUCAUCCUUAAUGCCACAGAGGCUUGGUGCCCCCACCACCACCACAGGAAAGCACCCCCUCCUCCAUCCUCUGGACACCUGGCUUUUAACAGAAGGUUUGCCUCCUGCAUGGUAGUACCUGUUGGGAAGGCCCUGCCUGACCCUCAUCAGAGCGCCCUCCUUUCCCUGCCUUUGCCCUAGUCACUCCUCCAUUCCUGUUACCAGGCCAGAUAAUGAUAGGGCUUGCAUUGAUUUUUAUCACCCACACCCACCGGUCCCCCUCCUGACCCUUCCUCUCUAUGGGAAGCCUGUGUCACAGGAUAAAAAGAGCCAGAUGUGAAAGCAAAGGUCCCUUCUGAUGUAUUCGGCUAGUGAGGAUGUUUGAUUCCAGCCUAACAAGCUCAGCCAUUUUUUUUUUCUUUAGAGCCAACAGAGAAAGAGGGAUGGAGACAAAGAGCAGGAGAGCAAUGAGAUAAAAUGAGCCAGAGACAGAAGGCCAGGGGGUACCUCCUGAAUUGCUCUCACUGGGUCACAAAUCCUCCAGCACCUUCUAAGCAGAAGAGACAAGACGGCAAGGCUCUGACCUCUGAACUGCACCCACAGUCCAGUCAAAAAACAAAACAAAACAAAACAAAACAAAACAAAAACCUCUUCACUCUUCCCACCAAGUAACUGUAUUUGUAAACUUGUGUUUGUAAACUGUCCCUACAAAGCAAGGUCCAUGAGGUACCAGGUGACUUCAAGCCCUCACCCUGUCCAUUUUCCACCAAGUGCCCAGGGCAAUGUCUCCUUGAGAUCACUUCCCUACCUGUGAGGUGAGGCUGUGAUGGAGCUGCUGUAGAGGUUGGAGAAGAUCCUGAGCUCUGAUCAUAGCUGCUCAGCAAUGCUGGCUACUCAGCUCUGUUUCUUAAUCAGGAGUGAGAAAGGAAAGAUCCAUUUGGUUUUAUGGAGAACAAAGUGGAUGUCAGCCUUGGCUGUUUCACAGUCAGGGGACUUUAAAAACUACAAUGCUGCUGGGCUCUGCUCCCAGGCCUCUCAUGGGGGUCAAGUCUCCCUGACAGG